CGGAUAAAAGCUACCCCGGGGAUAACAGGCUUAUCUCCCCCAAGAGUUCACAUCGACGGGGAGGUUUGGCACCUCGAUGUCGGCUCAUCGCAUCCUGGGGCUGUAGUCGGUCCCAAGGGUUGGGCUGUUCGCCCAUUAAAGCGGUACGCGAGCUGGGUUCAGAACGUCGUGAGACAGUUCGGUCCCUAUCCGUCGUGGGCGUAGGAAAUUUGAGAGGAGCUGUCCUUAGUACGAGAGGACCGGGAUGGACAUACCUCUGGUGUACCAGUUGUCGUGCCAACGGCAUAGCUGGGUAGCUAUGUGUGGACGGGAUAAGUGCUGAAAGCAUCUAAGCAUGAAGCCCCCCUCAAGAUGAGAUUUCCCAACUUCGGUUAUAAGAUCCCUCAAAGAUGAUGAGGUUAAUAGGUUCGAGGUGGAAGCAUGGUGACAUGUGGAGCUGACGAAUACUAA
rnacentral:rRNA from 1 species